CGCACCCGCUCUCCCCUGCUUUUGCCGCCUAAUGUACGAGCAAUUUGCUUCCGCCUGGGGACUCUGGAAACCAAAGGCCCGCUGGUGUGACUGCCAGGCAGUGCUUUCCAGAGCCAGGCUGCUCCUUUCGGAAGUAAUGAGGAGGUUCGGUUUCUUCCCCCUGCCAGCCUACCCGGCCAGCUCCCCCUGGGAUCUGAAAGUCAAGCUCGGUUCUUUCUGGAUUCUGCACCAUCACUCAGCCAUGAUGGCGGUUGAAGAUGGGUGAGCCCACGCAGAAUCCGCCUCGCUCUCCCAAGGCUGUGCUGGCCCUACAGUGCUGAACAACUGAAAAGAGUGGCAUCGUUGCAUCUUGAAAUUACAGUCUUCCUUGGUACUCCAUGUGGGCUGCUUGUUUCCAGCAUGUCUAAGAGCCAGAACUCCAAUUAACUUCUGUUUGGAUAUUGAGUAUGCAAGGAAUGCAAGAUUGGAUCUUGUUCGUUGUUAAUAGUAGCUACUUAUCUAAAGCAAGGAUCUCAAACUCAAAUCACCAC